UGUAAUGGAACCCAGUCAGAAGUCCUAAGCUGGAGUGGUAACCAGGUUCCUGUUCCAAGACUAUCUGACAAAAAGUCGGCAAAUAGGAUUAGGGACAGGAAUACAUUUAUCAGUCAUCCAGAUGGGGAGCUGUGGGGGCCAUAGUUUGGAAUAGUUACCUCCGGGGUUAGAAUUGACAGGACUGCACUCGAAACGCAAUGUUGAGGUUGGAGGAUAGAGCUGGGGUAGAGUAAGAGCGAUCUCCGGUCCUCCCAAGAGCUGAGAUUAGAUGAAGAGGUGAGUAACGAAGCCACUCACUAGACACAGGACAUCAGCCUCAAGACUUAGGGCACAAUGACAAGAGAAUGGAUACGUUGCCUCGGUGGUGACAGUGGAAUCCCUUGGACAGAGGGAUGACAAGAUCCUGUCGUUCAGAGAAAAUGGAGACAGCAUCACCCCAAAACUGCUGUUGGGACUGGCAGAUAACGCUGGCGAGGAGCCUGCCCUGCGGCCUGGUGCUCACCCACCCCUCUCUCCAGGCUGUUGGGUCACCUGUCCAUUGGGUUAGCCUGGAGAACAACUCUCUGCCCAGCUUUACCCAAAGGAUAACUAAGAAGAUAGUGGAAAGAGGAGAAAUACCCAUAAUAUAUGGAACCCUAACCUGGAAGUCAGCACAUGUGAGGCCUGCAGCACAUUGCCGCACGAGGAGCCCACUGGACCUUCAAAAUCACCCUGAGAGGUGCUGUCACUGCAGCUACCACCGGGCCAGAGGAAAUUCACACCCUGCACCUUCUAGCCUCCAAGCCACUUUCAAACUUGCAUUCUUUCACCAGUGUCUGUAAGCAUUUUUAUGCAGAUUCAAGAUGGGGGAAAACAGCCCCUACUGCUCCACCCCAAAGUUUGUUGUGACUCAGCAAGAGCUGAGAGUUAGACCUACAUCUCUGACGUUGCCCAGCCUGGAGCCACGGCUCAGCGAGCGGGUGAGGGCCCCUUCUCUGAACUCUGAGCUGCCUCAUGCAGCUUCUCCUCUCCUCUCCCACGCAGACCCUCCAUGCUCUCCCAUGCAGCCCCUCCCAGCUGAGCCUCCACGUGCUCAGCUGCGUGUGAGCCACGCGCACUGGUUCGGGUGCUCUGGCCAGUAGAUGUAAAACUGGGGCCCUGGCUCUCUUCUUGACGAGCUCAGUCACGACAGCAACACUGAUUUGGUGCUAUUCAUUCUUUUAUUGGGGAACAUUUUUCUUUUGUUGUGUCUGCGGCGCCUCACGAGGAUGGCAGGCCGGGCUGCUGGCUGCACCUGCGGCAACCGGGGGGCAUCUCUGG